rnacentral:rRNA from 1 species
UUGUAAGUCAGACGUGAAAGCCUUCUGUUCAACGGAAGAAUUGCAUCUGAAACUACAAACCUUGAGUGUAGGAGGGGAGAAUGGAACUUCUGGUGGAGCGGUGAAAUGCGUAGAUAUCAGAAGGAACGCCGGCGGCGAAAGCGAUUCUCUGGCCUAUUACUGACACUCAGUGUGCGAAAGCUAGGGGAGCAAACGGGAUUAGAUACCCCGGUAGUCCUAGCCGUAAACGAUGGGCACUAAGUAGAGGGAAU